GCCGCGCUCGGCCGCGGAGCCCCUUCCCCACCCAGAGAAGGGGAAAAAGGAAGGGAGCGGGAACGGCCGAAGAGGGAAGGUGGGAAAGGGGGAGUAGAGGAAUAAAAAAGCGUAAGAUGUACAGGAAAGAAGAAAGGAGGACAUAGCAGGAGCUGUUGGUUGAAUGGUUGAAUCCAGUGCUGGUGGAAAUAUGUGGAACUGUGCUGGACUCAUUCACGUAUAUCAAGUCUGGA